AUGAACGCUAGCUACAGGCUUAACACAUGCCAGUCGAGGGGAAACGGCAUUGAGUGCUUGCACUCUUUGGACGUCGACCGGCGCACGGGUGAGUAACGCGUAUCCAACCUUCCCAUUACUGUGGGAUAACCUGCCGAAAGGCAGACUAAUACCGCAUAGUCUUCGAUGACGGCAUCAGAUUUGAAGUAAAGAUUUAUCGGUAAUGGAUGGGGAUGCGUCUGAUUAGCUUGUUGGCGGGGUAACGGCCCACCAAGGCUACGAUCAGUAGGGGUUCUGAGAGGAAGGUCCCCCACAUUGGAACUGAGACACGGUCCAAACUCCUACGGGAGGCAGCAGUGAGGAAUAUUGGUCAAUGGACGGAAGUCUGAACCAGCCAAGUAGCGUGCAGGAGGACGGCCCUAUGGGUUGUAAACUGCUUUUGUAUGGGGAUAAAGUUAGGGACGUGUCCCUAUUUGCAGGUACCAUACGAAUAAGAACCGGCUAAUUCCGUG
rnacentral:rRNA from 1 species